rnacentral:lncRNA from 1 species
AUGUGUGUGUCAAUUUUUAUCAACAACCUGGAGCUUUUAGUUAGUAUUUGAAGAAUCUUAGUCAGGAACCCAUACAUGAAGAGUGGUUAGCAAACAUAUGAAAAGCCCUAAAAGGAGUCCACAGCCCAGACGGGCUGCAGCAACUUCAAAUAUCCUCAUCCGAAUCUGCACCAGAGGACCUGCUCUUUGGGAUCUCAUCCAGAAUCCCACAUUACAUUAAAUCAUCACGUCUCCUUAGUCUCCUCCAACCUUCUCAGUCUUUCCUUGUUUAUCGGCACCCUGGAAGUUUUGAGUGCUGGCCAGGUAGGAUUUGCUCUGGGGCAAGUCAGCUGCUGUGUUGUGAAGACACUCCAAGACAACUGUGGAGGGGACCCACCCUGCCAGCCACGUGAAUGAGACUCCCUGGAAGCAGAUCUUCCAGCCCCAGUUGAGCCUUCAAGUGACCACAGCCCUGACACGUCUGACUGAUCCUCAUGAGAAAUCUCAAGCUAGAGCUAUCAGUCCACCUGUUUCCAAAGUCCUGGCCCGCAGAAACUGUGACAGAAAAGAAGUGCUUAUUAUUUAUAUAAGUUACUAA